GUUUUGAGAGAGAGACAAAAGAGGACACACAACAAGUAGCCACUCUCUCAUCUCACCCAUCUCUUUACACACAUCAAGUAGCCACACUCUCUCUACUUCUCGCUGUUUUCUCCACUUUCUCUUCUCCUUCUUUCUCUACAGAUCUCUUUCUCUAUCUUCACUACUUUUCUUUCUAGAGGACAACUGUGACAUUUUGUCUGAACGCAUCUAUGGCUGCUCUGGUUCUUUCACUUCUCCUUCUAGCCAUGGCUGGCCAUUCUAGUGCCUCAUGGUGUGUGUGUAAAACAGGGCUGAGUGAUACAGUGCUACAGAGCACACUAGACUAUGCCUGUGGCAAUGGAGCAGACUGUAACCCCACUCACCCAAAAGCACCUUGCUUUGACCCUGACAAUGUUAGGUCUCACUGCAACUAUGCAGUCAAUAGCUUCUUCCAAAAGAAGCACCAAGCUCCAGGCACUUGUGAUUUUAGUGGCACUGCCACUCCAACUAACU